AGCUGAUCAGCAUGCCGCGUGAGGGAUGAAGGCCUUCGGGUUGUAAACCUCUUUCUCCAGGGACGAUAAUGACGGUACUGUUACAAUAAACCCCGGACUUCUUCGCGACAUCACCCGCGGUAAUACAAUGGGCGCGAGCCUUGUGCUAUCCUACUGGGCGUAGCGUGCACAUAAGCUAUUUUGUUUGUCGCGUGUGAAAUCCAAGCGCUCAGCCCGAAAUCUGCUCUCCAGACUGAACCUCUAGACUUCAGUGGAGGAGGGUAGACUUCCGUGUGUCGAGGUGAAAUGCAAAUACCUUAGGAAGAACAACAUUCGUAAAGGCAGCUCAGUACUCCGGUUCUGACCCUAACCUGCUAAACCGUGGCGAGCACACCAGAUUAGAUUCCCUGGUAGGCCACUCCAUAAAAUAUGCGUGCUAUCCUUGGGGUAGCUUACAUUUCUCGGGUGCCGCUAAAUAAUUAAACCAUUCGCCUGGCUAGGUCGGUCAGCCGGCUCUCACGCUAAUUAANUGACGGGGUGGAAGG
rnacentral:rRNA from 1 species